rnacentral:rRNA from 1 species
CUCGUAGGCGGCUUCGUAAGUCAGAGGUGAAAGGUCACGGCUCAACCGUGGGAACGCCUUUGAAACUACGAAGCUUGAGGCCGGGAGAGGAAAGUGGAAUUCCUGGAGUAGCGGUGAAAUGCGUAGAUAUCAGGAGGAACACCAGUGGCGAAGGCGACUUUCUGGACCGGUUCUGACGCUGAGGAGCGAAAGCAUGGGGAGCGAACA